UGCAAGUCGAACGAUGAUGCCCAGCUUGCUGGGCGGAUUAGUGGCGAACGGGUGAGUAACACGUGAGUAACCUGCCCUUGACUUCGGGAUAACUCCGGGAAACCGGGGCUAAUACCGGAUAUGAGCCGUCCUCGCAUGGGGGUGGUUGGAAAGUUUUUCGGUCAGGGAUGGGCUCGCGGCCUAUCAGCUUGUUGGUGGGGUGAUGGCCUACCAAGGCGACGACGGGUAGCCGGCCUGAGAGGGCGACCGGCCACACUGGGACUGAGACACGGCCCAGACUCCUACGGGAGGCAGCAGUGGGGAAUAUUGCACAAUGGGCGAAAGCCUGAUGCAGCGACGCCGCGUGAGGGAUGAAGGCCUUCGGGUUGUAAACCUCUUUCAGCAGGGAAGAAGCGCAAGUGACGGUACCUGCAGAAGAAGCGCCGGCUAACUACGUGCCAGCAGCCGCGGUAAUACGUAGGGCGCAAGCGUUGUCCGGAAUUAUUGGGCGUAAAGAGCUCGUAGGCGGUUUGUCGCGUCUGGUGUGAAAACUCGAGGCUCAACCUCGAGCUUGCAUCGGGUACGGGCAGACUAGAGUGCGGUAGGGGAGACUGGAAUUCCUGGUGUAGCGGUGGAAUGCGCAGAUAUCAGGAGGAACACCGAUGGCGAAGGCAGGUCUCUGGGCCGCAACUGACGCUGAGGAGCGAAAGCAUGGGGAGCGAACAGGAUUAGAUACCCUGGUAGUCCAUGCCGUAAACGUUGGGCACUAGGUGUGGGGCUCAUUCCACGAGUUCCGUGCCGCAGCAAACGCAUUAAGUG
rnacentral:rRNA from 1 species